UACGGAGGAUCCAAGCGUUAUCCGGAUUCACUGGGUUUAAAGCGCACGUAGGCGGCUUUGUAAGUUAGAGGUGAAAGCCCGGGGCUCAACUCCGGAAUUGCCUUUAAGACUGCAUCGCUAGAAUUGUGGAGAGGUAAGUGGAAUUCCGAGUGUAGAGGUGAAAUUCGUAGAUAUUCGGAAGAACACCAGUGGCGAAGGCGACUUACUGGACACAUAUUGACGCUGAGGUGGGAAAGCGUGGGGAGCAAACAGG
rnacentral:rRNA from 1 species